rnacentral:rRNA from 1 species
UCUACGGGAGGCAGCAGUGAGGAAUAUUGGUCAAUGGGCGAGAGCCUGAACCAGCCAAGUCGCGUGAGGGACGACGGCCCUACGGGUUGUAAACCUCUUUUGCCGGGGGACAAACGGCGGCACGCGUGCCGUCCUGAGGGUACCCGGAGAAAAAGCAUCGGCUAACUCCGUGCCAGCAGCCGCGGUAAUACGGAGGAUCCGAGCGUUAUCCGGAUUUAUUGGGUUUAAAGGGAGCGUAGAUGGGUUGUUAAGUCAGUUGUGAAAGUUUGCGGCUCAACCGUAAAAUUGCAAUUGAUACUGGCAGCCUUGAGUACAGUUGAGGUAGGCGGAAUUCGUGGUGUAGCGGUGAAAUGCUUAGAUAUCACGAAGAACUCCGAUUGCGAAGGCAGCCUACUAAACUGCCACUGACAUUGAUGCUCGAAAGUGUGGGUAUCAAACAGGAUUAGAUACCCCUGGUAGUC